UUACAUACUCAUGGUUUCAACCCAGCUUUUUUCAUAUUUGACAAUCAUGUGUGAAAGUUUUCACAUUGCUUAUGUAUGAUCAAAACCCAGUAAGAGGUCUUUUGUAUGUAUCUUUCAUAAUCACCAUGAGUGAUGAAAGCUUUCCCAGUUUACUUAUAUACAGAAGGCAUUGCCCUAGUGUGAGCUCUUUCAUGUUUUAGGCAACAACUGCUUUUGCUGAAAGCUUUCCCACACUGUGAGUCCUCCUAUGUCUUUGACAAGCACUAUGUGUGCUGAAACCUUUCCCACACUGCUUACAUUCAUAGGGUUUCUCCCCAGUGUGAAUCCUUUCAUGUGUUCGAAAAUGACUGCUUGUGCUGAAAGCUUUCCCACAUUGCUUACAUACAUAGGGUUUUUCCCCACUGUGAAAUCUUUCAUGUGUUUUGCAAGUACUAUAUGAGCUGAAUGAUUUUCCACAUUGCUUACACACAUAUGGUUUCUCUCCACUGUGAACUCUUUCAUGUCUUUGACAACAUCUACGUGUGCUGAAAGCUUUCCCACACUGCUUACAUACAUAAGGUUUCUCCCCAGUGUGAAAUCUUUCAUGUGUUUUGCAAGUACCAUAUGAGCUGAAUGCUUUCCCACAUUGCUUACAUACAUAGGGUUUUUCUCCAGUGUGAACUCUUUCGUGAGUUUGACAAGCACUUUUUGUGGUAAAACCAUUCCCACAUUGGUUACAUAUGUAAGGUUUCUCCCCAUUGUGAACUCUUUCAUGUCUUUGACAACAUCUAUAGGUGCUGAAAGCUUUCCCACAUUGCUUACAUACAUAGGGUUUUUCCCCACUGUGAAAUCUUUCAUGUGUUCUACAAGCACUCUUUGUGCUGAAAGCUUUCCCACAUUGCUUACAUGCAUAGGGUUUGUCUCCAGUGUGAACUCUUUCAUGUCUUUGACAACAUCUACGUGUGGUAAAAGCUUUCCCACAUUGCUUACAUGGAUAUGGUUUCUCCCCACUGUGAGCUUUUUCAUGUCUUUGACAAGCACUUUUUGUGCUGAAAGCUUUGCCACAUUGCUUACAUUCAUAGGGUUUGUAUCCAGUGUGAGCUCUUUCAUGUAUUUGAACAUAUCCAUAUGUGCUGAAAGCUUUCCCACACUGCUUACAUACAUAUGGUUUCUCUCCACUGUGAUUUCUUUCAUGGAUCUGAACAUAUUUAUAUGUUCUGAAAGCUUUGCCACAUUGUUUACAGACAUAGGGUUUCCCCUCACUGUGAUUUCUCUCAUGGAUCUGAACAUCACUGUCUGUGCUGGAAGCUGUCAAAUUUUUCUUACAUACAAAGGCAUUUUCUCUAAGAUGAGUUCUUUCACUAAGAUCACAGGAGAUAUUCCCACAUUGAUCACAUUCACAGGGUUUCUCUCCAGCCUUUGUCCUUGCAUGCUUCUGAAAAGAAUGGAAAUCACUGCAGUUUCUUCCACGUUGAUCACAUUUAUAAUGACUCUCUUCAGAUCCCAAGUAUUUGUAUGGCUUCAGUGCAGUGUGAGCUAUGAGGGGCACAUUUUGUGACAAAUGACCAAUCAGAGGCUCCCUACAAGCAAGGCUGUCAGCUGGUGUUGAACCAGCUUCUUUCCUAUGCACAUUAGCAACUGGAGUCCAAAGGAAUAUUUUUUCAUAUUGAUUCCAACCUUUGUAUUGAUAGCAUUUCUCUACUUCUUCAUUGCUGUAAAGAAAAAGUCACAAUACAAUGGGUCUCCAUAUUAAUGAUGUACCAGAAGUUCAUUUUCAUGCCUGAUAACAAAUUUAGACAG
rnacentral:lncRNA from 1 species